UCCGAGAAAACCCAACUACUCUGCAUGAGGUUGCAAAACAACGCGAAUUGAGUGGGACGCUGGAAAGUGAGUCGGACGGGAUGUUGAAAAAGCAGAUCUCUCAUGCUAAGUCCAAAGAACUUAGUGGGCAUGACAUAUUUGCACCUCCACCUGAAAUCUUGCCCAGGACGGUGGUUUCACACGCACACACAAUGCAUCAAGAUAUGGGAGAACCUGCACCACGUAAUUUACGCACAUCUGUCAAAGUUUCUAAUGUAAGUGACUUUGUUGUGUUUGUCCUUACUCUUACCUCUGUCUUAAGCAUGAGAAAAUAGUUAUGUGGCAACUGAUACAGCAUGUCAGUUGAAAGUAACCACCUCCCCUCUUCCUUGGUGGCUUUGAACCUGGGUAGUUCUAUAUUCAAUGAAGACAUGCUAUUAUUGGUUGUCACAUUGGGAUAGAAGUCAACCACAUGACGUUUGAUACGUAUUGAAGUUUUUUCUCAUCAAGUAGGCCUAGUAAAAUGCAAUAUUUGAGAAGCUUCGAUGGAAUUAACCAAUGAUUAUCCAUGAUGCUUCUUGCAAGCAUAGCACUAUAUCGAUUCUUUCUCUAAAUCAUUCUUCUGAGGUAUUCUUGGAUCUAGAAUGACCUGACUUUAAUACUUUUACAUGGAUCAGCCUGCUGGAGGACAGAGCAAUAUAAUGUCCACUGAGGAACCUGUGCUGAAGACGGCAAAGAAGAUCUAUGACAAGAAAUUUACUGAACUUUCGGGAAACGACAUCUUCAAGGGCGACGUGCCUCCAUCAUCUGCGGAGAAACCACUAAGUGUGGCGAAACUGCGCGAGAUAAGUGGCAACGACAUUUUUGCUGAUGGUAAGGUAGAAUCUCGGGACUACCUGGGUGGCGUGCGCAAACCGCCUGGUGGUGAGAGCAGCAUCUCAUUGGUUUGAUAAGAUACGGCCUGGACCAACUAUUUCACGUGAUAGUCUUGUGUCUGGAUUUUCUUCUGGUUCUCACUGUGAACAUAUUCUGGUAUUACUCUCCUUUCAUUAAAUUCGUCGAGGGAUACGGCAAACUUCAUUCCAGUAUUUAACAUGAUUGGCUAGAGAUGUGACCGAUGUGCUAAUUGGUGUUAUGUGUUCAUACUUGCGUUUGGUUUAGCGAUUGUCCUAAUUUUCUGCAAGUUCAUCUACUGCAAUGAAUGGUUGCGUUUGUCCGUUCCAUCUUCUUACUCCCUGUGUAGUGUUAAAUCUUGAUUUCAGUACAUUUCAUUGGGAUACAGUGAUUAUCGAUUCCAUUCUGUUUUCAUCCUGUGCUGCCAAGUGAUUUAUGGCAAUUUUUUGUAGUUACAUAUAGGAUGUGGAACAUUCUCUUGUUAAAAUCCACGUCAAGGGAAAUUGAGUAUGUACGCCCUUUCAUUUAGCAGCCAUUCUCCACCUCGAGAUCGCUGGGCCAACCACCUAAGGUCUUAAUUCAAUAAGAUGUUAUCAAUGCUUGAUUGAUGCAUUCUGCUAAAAUUUGACAGCUACAGCAAACAAAUCAUUGCUGAAGUAUCAUUAGGAAUGGUUGUGGUCAAAAUUUACUUGGAUAAUGUGAUAUCAUAACCUUUUUUUGGGGUGGGGUGAGCAGUGUCGGCAAUCUUCUUGGAUGUAAGCAUAGGAGUUCUACAUUUAUGGCGUACUGUCAUAACUUUAUGUUCAUAGAGAUUUAUCCGAAAAAGAUUGAACUGUUGGUUUAAAUCAUGACAAGGGAAUGCUGAAUUUUUGAGAAUGGAGUGAGGGCCAAGCUAUAAGAGGAAAAUCCGAAACACUGGAGGGUUUACAAAUCCUUUUCGAUGAACUAAUAUCUUCAGUUCAUGCCCUUAAUAUCACAUUCAACUUCUGAAACGUGCUCUUACAUUUUUAUAUGGAUUUCCCAUUCUCCGUUCAUCUUACCUUCCUAAUAUAUAGUCUAGACAUCUUACCCUUCCUUGACUGUUCUGUGCACAGUUGAAUCGCCAUUCAUGCAGUACAAUUGUAAUAAUUAUUACUAAUUAAUAAACAAUACCCAUUAUAUUGGUUAAUUAAUAUAAUAUAAUCAUUACAUAAGCAAAUUGUUCUCAUGAUUAAUACUAUCCAAUCACGCAGGGCGCUAAGCUAUUAUGUAUAAUAGCUAUUAGAGUUUCAGCAGUAAUAGGCAUUAUAACGUUAUACUUACUACUGCAAGCUGAUAUUGUAAUGCGUCAAAGAGGAGUAAUGUAAUAAUCGUUGCCACAACCAAAGCGUCCACUUGUGGCUUCUGAAUCUUUGCUUGUCAUGAAUAUAAGCUCACUUUAUAAUAAUACACUCAUCUACGAAUAUAGAAAGUACCACUGGAGAUAUUUAUUCAUUUGCUAGAAGCUAUAGUUCCUCUUGCAAUUUCAUAUUACUGGGUUGUCUCCACCUCUGGACAAUGGCCACACUAGUGAGCGGCCGGAUGAGCCGAUAACACCUGAGAAACCAUCUUCAUGGAUGGCCUGAGUUGCGGAUUGGUGGAUAAACAAGCAAUUGCGAGCUUGAAGAUGACUAGAAGUUCAUCCUCAGUGCUUGGCAUUGGAGCUGGUAGGCGUGGAUCCAGCAUAUCUUUCAGGACUGUCACAAUCUCCUUAUCCGAUUCAGCUAAUAGGGAUGAGAUGGUUUCGCCUGGAUGUUUUCCAUGGAACACCUGUAUUGCCAUGACCCCAAAGCUGUACACGUCGCAUUUCUCAGUCACUCUCAUCGUGUAGGCAAGCUCUGCACAUAAGAAGAAAAUGCAUUAUUACUGGCAGAUUAUUACUUUUUAAGCUCACCAUAGAGGACUAGUAGAUAUCCAUGGAGUUACCUGGUGCAAUAUAUCCAUAUGUCCCAGCAACAGUGCUCCAAUUCGACGUGUCCAGCUUGAGAAGCUUGGCUGUGCCAAAGUCAGAAACAUGGGCCUCAUACUCAGAAUCAAGCAAGAUGUUGUUGCUUGAUAUGUCUCGGUGAACAAUGGGAGGCACACAGUCAUGGUGCAUGUAGGACAGAGCAUGAGCUAUGCCUCUCACAAUAUUUGCCCUCCUAUCCCAACCCAACUCUUUUGCUUCUCCAUCAUCGCUCAGGGUUGCAGACAGGUUUCCUCUUUCCAGAUACUCAUACACCAAGAACGAGUGUUGGGGAUGUGAGCAGAAGCCACGGAGUCUCACGAUGUUACGGUGUCGUAUUUCUGUCAAUGCCCGUAUCUCAUUCUGAAACUCCUUCUGAUUCGUUUGCCCGCUAUCAGACAUCUGAUGAAGCUUCUUCACAGCCACCACAUCGCCUGAUCUUAGCUUUGCUCUGUAGACUCUUCCAUAUCCUCCACAUCCAAUGCAGUAUCUCUCGUUAAAAUCCUCAGUCGCUGCAAUGAUUUCUUCGUGCAAUAUCCUUCCAUUGUAAGUAGAUAUAGAAAACAUUUUCUCUCUCUCCUGUGCUUGCUCCACUGUCGGCGGUCCUUUCUUCUAUGCAAAAUGUAGUAUACUCCGACGAAAGAAAGCAGGAGAAAUGCUCCAAGUACGAGGAAAACAAUGAGAAACACUUUCUUAACAGUGUUGGAUUUUUUCUUCUGCGGCUCCGAUUGACUACAAGGCUGAAGUCCAUCAACAUUUCCACAUAAUCCAGCGUUGCCUUGUAAUGCUUCUGUUGGAGCAUCUUGGAAUGCCGUGGUGUUUGGAACCGGACCCUGAAACUCAUUGUAGGAUAUGUCAACCGUGGCCAAACCUGGCAUAUCCUCAAAAAUUGCGUAUAUAGGGCCCGAAAGAUUGUUGUGUGAGAGGUCAAGUUUCACUAGACUUUGCAGAUUGCUGAAUUGUGCAGGAAUCUUGCCGAUUAAUGAAUUAUUGUUCAAGUCUAGCUCGGAUAAGUGAAUCAGCAUCCUGAUCUGGCCAGGAAUUUCUUGGCUUAACCGGUUGUUGCUCAGAUCCAAGUGGAAUAAGUCUGCCAACUGCCCGAUACUCUCAGGGAUAGACGAGUUUAAUCUAUUCCUGGACAAAUCCAUCAUUUGAAGACCAGAUAGGGACGCGAUCUUCGGACUUAUACUGCCAGAAAGUUGAUUCCUGCUCAAGUUCAACCUCACCAAAUAGGUCAAUUUCCCGAGUUCCUUUGGAAUCUCGCCAACUAAACCAUUGGAAGAAAGAUCGAGUCCUUGUAGUUCAGUUGCGUUUCCGAUCUCAGGAGGCAAGCUACCAGUGAUGUUGUUCCCAGCAAUUCGUAGAGUCCGCAGACGCUGACAACUUCCCCAGUUGGCCGAGAUUUCUCCAUAGAACUUGUUGAAACUUAAAUCUAUAAAGUCCAAGUUCGGGUAGAUGCCAAAACUGUCGGAUAUGUUUCCAGUGAGUUGAUUCUCCUCGAGGCGUACCCUGAGUAAGCUUGUGCAAUUUCUCAAGCUUUUGGGAAUGAAACCUGUGAGGUUGUUGCCACCCAAGGUGAGAUUGCGAAGUGAUCCACCUCGGCACAAGUUAUCUGGUAUGAAGCCAGUGAAUUGGUUCGUAUCUAAUUGUAGCACCACCAAGCUCAUCAAAUCCCCCAGGAAUCUAGGAAUGGAUCCGGAAAGUUGGUUCUCGCGGAGGAAUAAAUAUUUCAGUUUAGUCAUGUUGCCUAGAGAAGAAGGAAAAGGGCCACUGAGCUGAUUCAUACUCAGCUCCAAAUCGAUCAUAGCUCGAAGGUUUCCCAACUCAUCAGGAAUGUCAUCAGAAAGCAUGUUGCCAUACAGAUAAAGAAGGGUAAGCUCUGUCAAAUUGCCUAAUGUCGAGGGAAUUGAACCGGUAAGAUUAUUGUAGUGUAGGGCGAGUCGACGAAGAAGUUUCAAGUUCCCCAGCUCCGGUGGGAUAGAACCAGUAAGUUCAUUAUCAUAUAUGUGGAGUUGGGUUAGUUUCGUCAAUUUCCCAAAUGUGGAAGGAAUUGGCCCCGUUAGGAAGUUGAUAUCCAUGUAAAUCUCCUCCAAGUUUGUCAAAUUCCCCAUCUCAAGAGGAAUAGGACCAGAAAAUGAACUGUUAUAGAUGUAAAGUCUAGAGAGGCUGCUCAAGUUGCCCAAGGAAGAAGGAAGAGAUCCAUUCAACUGGUUUGAGUACAAGGCAAGCUCGUUUAACAAACGCAACUGACCUAUUUCAUCAGGGAUAGAGCCAUUCAACUCGUUAGAGGGCAAGUGUAACACCUCAAGCUUCAUGAGAUUGCCAAUCUCCCGUGGUAUUUUCCCGGAUAAUUGAUUAUAGGAGAAGUCAAGGUAGGUGAGAUUGGUCAAAAGACCGACUUGAGGUGGAAUACCGCCGAAGAGUUCAUUUAUGUACAUGUCUAUAUAGGUAAGAUACGGCAAAGACGAGAAUGGGAACUCAUCGAGUGUACCUUUGAUGUUCGAAUUGGUGAGAUUGAUUCCAAUCACGCUUCUGGCUAGGUUACACAAGAUGCCGUGCCAACCGCACGGGCUCGACGCUGUUGCAUUGGAGCCGGUAGCAUUUUGAGGAGGGAGAGUCCAUGAAGAUAGAGAAGAGGUGGAUAGGUUUUGGUUUAGAAGGCUUGAUUUCCAUUUGAGAAGGGCUUGUGCUUCUAGUGUGGAGGCAUAAGCAGGAAUUGCACGUUGUGGAAUGAUGACCAAAAGUGCUGUGAAAAGGGCAAAAGAGGCUAGAAGAUUCACUGGUGUCUCCAAUCCUGGUGAGCCCAUGGUUUCUUUCGUUUGUUCUGGAGGUUGAUGAUCAACCAUGAGGCAUAUAUGUAAAGCUUGGUUACUCUGUGUCUGUCAUUCUCCAAUUCCAUUCAAAGAAGGCCAAUUUUCAAAGAUCCUAAAUUUCCUGCUUGCUCAACGGUGCUGAUUGUGAUGGUUCAGAUGUUAACAAUCUGGCCAAUGAGUGAAAACGAGAAAUAGUCUAACCGCGUGUAGAGUUUCAUGUGGUUGGAACAAUGCGUUUGACUCAAAGCUUCCUUGACUCUGUUCUCUUUACUCGGUGCUAUCUCUGGUUUUUCUUGACGUGGGAGUGCCAACAGCCAGAUACUGCUAUUUUAAAGAUGAUAAUGCGUUCGUCAGCUAUCAUCAAUAGGGAAGAAAAUGAAGCCAGUCACUAUCGUUUUGCUCAGACUUUGUGACAGACAGGAAAUUUGACUGAGUAUUUACUCGAUAAAUUAAAUAAAUCUUUUUAAUACCAAGUGGAUCUGCGCUUUGGAUGUUGUAUAUGGCCUAAUUCUUCCUUUCUGGAAGCACUUAUGAUGGAAUUACCUUCCAAGCGCUCUACUGGGAGAGUUUGUAGAUGAAGAGUGGGACACAGAAUAAAGGACCUUCACGUUUAGUUUCUUUUUGAGCCUUUUUAUGGUUUUAACCCCUUUGCUCUUUCCUUCUAGAGGAACGGCGAUGUUUCCUUGUAGCUUCUCGCUGAAUCUGAUUGAUGCUUUGAAUAGUUUAGGUACCUCUUUUACUAUGUGAAUUUCGACUAGAUUUGCUCUUUUAGAAGAGAAGCAGGACAAAAUGUACUUGUGUGAACCUUCUAACUGUACUUUGUUCAGGCAAUAUCUAGAAACAUUCGCAUCAAAGGGAAAAUGAAACGAACAGUAAGAGACUUCUGCUAUUUUCGCCUUAACAUGCGCUCUUAAGAUCGAAAAUCGAGUUUCUGGUCUCUAUAUGACACAACGUUAUUUAUGUAAGUGGGAAACUACCAUGGAAUACAUGGAUUCUAAGUCUUAAAUCACCCUAAACUUUUAUUUCCAUGUAAAUCCACAGUUUAAUAACUCCUUUACUGAAUCUUGCAGUUCAAAUUUACAUUACUCCUGGCCUAAUUCCUAAAAUUACUCUAAUUAGAUGAACAACGAGUUCGAUUAUUUACCAAAUGUUGUAAAACGAAGCCAAUCCAGCUUGGCGAGUUCACAGUGGUGUGUAGACGCAAGCUUUUCUCUCCUCUCUUCCUUGCUAUUAUUGUCAUUGUUUAUGUUUGUUUUUCGCUUUUACACUUCACAUGCAUCUAAUGAAGGAGAAAAGAGUGCAGAUUACAUCGGCCAAUGCAUGGUAGGAUAAUGUAGGUUGAGCUUUUAUUUGUUAAUUCAUUUAUCUUAGAUUUCGCUCUUACAGAUGUUAUAUAUGUGCUUGUUCAACUUUUUUAUUCUGAACUACAAAAGUAUUGGAGAUGUCGAACCUAUAUGCACACAACCAAUAGGCAAAGCCAUAGUAAUAUAUAGAGAUUUCAUUGUGUAUUUAUUACUAAAUACGGAUUCAGUGAUCAGUCGCUGUUUUUGUAAUUAAUUUUUGAGCGAGUUUUGAGGAUAUAUUUUGUUAUCUGGAGCUUAUUUUGUUUUGAAGCUGUCUACGAGUUGUCUUGAUUUGCAGUUGGACUAAAUUAUUUUUCUCUUAUAUUUACGUGGGAAUGAAUGAAAUGUUAUCUUGACCAAAAAAAAAAAAGGGGUAAGAAAGAAGAAUGGGCAAUAGCACCUACGGCUGGGUUUGUGGUGGCGGCCUAGUUUGCCCCGAGUUUACCCCGCCGGCUGCCGGCUGUAUGGGGGGUUUCCGGGUCAUCAAAAUAAAAAAUAAAAAGGGCAAUAACAAACUUAGUUAUAGUCACGGUCACCCUUCAAGUCUGUAUUUUUUACUUGGGGAACGACCCCAUCCCUUCAUAAAAUAAGGGACGAAGCUUUUAAUUAACACAAACCAUUUUCAGAAAUGUAUUAGUCGUAUAAAACCUGACAUUAACGAAAAUAAUCAUAAGGUCCAACGUAUCAUGAAUGUACCCAGCUGAAUUUCCUUCAGAGUCGGUCUAAUAAGCUCAAUAAAAAUAGCAAGAUAGAUCCUAAAUUGAAUCCAUCACUCUCCUCUAUUCUUGAAAUCUGAAAUGGCAAUAAAAGGGGGCGAGCAAAACCCCGGCUCAGUAAGUGAUAAUCACCACUUCCGUGAAAUCAAGUAACGAAGGAUGCGGUUGUACAAUAACAUGCAUAUGCAGGAAUUGCACCUUGUGAAGUGACUGCUAGCAUUGCGAGAAGGGCAACGGGAGUCGGUAGCCAGAAGACGUACCCCUUCCUCUAAAACUUUUUGCCAGUCCUUGAUUUUCUGGUGUGGUUCUGGAGCAUGAUGAUCAACAAAGGGUUGCCUGCUCUGUUUCUGCCGUUGUUCUUUACUCCAUUCAUAAAGGGCCAGCUUUCAAAGAUCUCCCAUUUCAGGAUUUUGAAAGCUUCUGAUCAUGAAGUUUCAGCUAUUGACAAACUGUAUUUUGUUUAUACAGAGCCCCGUGUAUGCUGAAGUAAGUGGUUGACUUCACUCCACCUCGCUAAUUUUUUUUUACCAAUGGGGGACAUUCCUUUGCUUGCUAAAAUACCGACCUUUGACAACUGGAAUGCGUGCAUCACCGGGCAAUAAUUAAUGAGAAAAACAUACGUUGACUUGGAUCGGUCUUCUUUGGCGACUUGUUGACUUGGAUCGGUCCCCAUGUCGGAAUUUGGUCCCCAUCGUUGGGCGAAAUCCAGAGAAUUUGAUAGAGAAGUCGUUGAGGAGAGUGAUAUUCCUAACUUGUUUCACACAUUAUGCAAUUCUAAGCACGCAAAAGGGAAGUCUUCUCAUCCGGCAUUAAUGAAGCCAAAUCCUGCCUCGGUUUUGACCCCGUUCUUGCAGAAACGAUAGCUGAUAAUAAAGCUAAUGAGUUUGGAUCACACCCACUUGCAAACUCACAUCAAUCUAAAGGAAAAUUGAAGAAGAGAAAUCCAAAUUGUCUAUGGCCUGCUUGUUCCAACCUUUUCUGAUAAAUGACAAGGUGGCUGUGGAGACCCGCAUUUAUCGAUAUUUCUCGAUUAUCAAGUUCAUCAUCAUUGCCGGUCUCUUUGGGCCUACGUAGAAAAGCCGAUCCUGAAGUGGCUGCUCAAGAGGCUGUUCAACCGGGAGUUCCCGGGGUGGGCGUCCUGAAUAUUUCAUUGUCAGAGAAGGUGAUCGUUGGCGAAUAACUUCAAUCUAGCUUCUGCUGGAGGCGAUGAGUGCCAGCGUGAGGAUGUGAAAUCGUAGAAUGCAGAGCACGCAGUUUAAAGUUCGUUGAUGGGGAGGGUGCAAAACUAAAUCACGCAGUUCGUAGUUUUGCAAAACUGUAGACACUUCUCGAAUAUCUUUACAUUUUCAUGAUUUCCUAAAUUGUUCAAAUUGUACCACUCUUGUGCAAGUUCGCUGGUGAGGCUGUUGUCAAGGAGGUCAUGCAGAGUGAAGGAGGAGGCGUAAGCAAGAUGAAAAGAAACACAAAAUGGAAAAAGAAAAAAAAAAGAAAGAAAAAGAAAAAAAGCAAAGUCCUUAGAGGAAAGAUUUGGUUGACUUGUAGGUUGAAGCCUUCAUUUGAGAUGGUGCCCACUUUAAGUUGUUUCAUAAAACGGUUUCACUUCAAGUUCUUAUUUGAAAUUUACUAUUAUUUUAUUAUACUUGAAAGUAGAUGAAUAUUUGCAAUUAAAGUAUGUUUACUUAAAGGAAAUCUAAUAUGAAAAUUAAUUUUCAACUUUCUGGUAUUUAUAUGACAAAAAAACUAAUCGAAUUGUGGAUAAAGUUUUUCAUGGAGUGAAACCUAACUAUUUGACUUGAAAAUACUUUUUAUAAAGAAUAUUUUUUUACCAUUAAAUUUUCAGUACAAUAAAAGGACCCUCGUUUCAAAUAAUUUACCUUUUUUGAGCUCCGUAAGUGGGCUCAAUUAUUGAGAAAGAGCGCACUGUGAUUAUUUUGGAAUUUUGAAGUGCUCGAUGGCUCCAAUAGAAAUAGUCCCGCAAGUUAGACGGGGCAAAUAAUUUUGGUGUUGGAUCAUGAAUAUGCAUAACUUGGAUUAUAUCGAAGUUUAAUGACCAUCGCUGGAUCUACAUAUAAGAACUAAUUAUCCUUUUAUUUAUUAGCUUCACGAUUCAUUUUCAUUUUAGUUUAUUGUAUUUAUUAUUAUUGUAAUAUAUCAAAUUAAUGACUAACAUUGCCUUGCUUUGAUUAAAAAAUCUAAUGACCGUAGGAAAGUGAUGGACAUUUGUUUUUAAUUGGUUAUUUCUUUCCCUAUACUAUUUUCCAUGAGCAAGGGAAAAAUUAUUGAAAAUCAAAACGUAAUUGGAUUGAGUAUGAGUUAAAUCCAGUGGAGUUUUGUAUAGGUUGCUAAAUUUGUAUUAUGUAAAGAUGGAACUGUUUGAGUUAAAUGGUUCAAUUUAAAUCGAACCCAAUCUGACCAAUAAAGGUUGUACGAUCAUCAAUUUUACUAGAAAAGCACAAGAUAAAUUUAAGAGACUAUCAAUCCUAAAAGGGCAGAGAGAAGCAUAAUCAAUACUUAAUCACAAUAGACAUCGGGUUGGAUUCCGCAAGUAUCCGAUGCCAUUCAAGAUAAAUUAAAUUUGGCUAAAUAUGCUUUAUACUGCAUUCUAAAAUCUUUGUUUCUCUUACUGUGAAUUCUGAAUAGUUUAUAAUGUGCACCGGUCCUUUUUAAUAAAUGAACUCGAUUUACACGUUCAGUGUUAGGCAAUGAGUUCUUACUAUUAGUGGCCACCAGCAAUUUAUGACUAUGCAGAAAAUGCAAAAUUUUAUUUUUUUACUGAUAAGUGCUGUGAAAAUGUUUGGGCAUAUCUAUAUGUAUAUAUUCCCAUUCAUUCAUUCAUGGUUCCUUUCUUUCCUUCCUUUUUUCUGUACAUUGAAGCCACUUUUUGCAACUUCUAGGAAACCGUGUUCGGGUUACAAAAUGAAGGAGAUAACUGGAAGUGGUAUCUUUUCGGAUAGUGGAGAAACUGAUCCGUCAGAGUCUGGCAAUAUUACUCCUAACAACAGAACAGGAAUCCGAAUGUACCAGGUACUUCUGUUUUCGGUUUUCCUUUUUUGGCCUGGGACAAAUGCACCAGGUCCUAAUUCCUGCAUAGAUAAUCUUAAAUCUCCAUGGUGAUUCCUAAUUUACUUUGACUUCCUCUGUAAAACAUUCCUAGCAAGCCCUUGCUGGAAUCAGUCACAUCUCCUUUGGUGAGGAAGAGAGCGUUUCUCCGAGAAAACCAACUACUGUGCCUGAGGUUGCAAAACAACGCGAUUUGAGUGGGACGCUGGAAAGUGAGUCAGACGGGAUGUUGAAAAAGCAGAUCUCUCAUGCCAAGUCCAAAGAACUAAGUGGGCAUGACAUAUUUGCACCUCCACCUGAAAUCUUGCCCAGGACGGUGGCUUCACACUCACACACAAUGCAUCAAGACACGGGAGAACCUGCACCACGUGAUUUGCGCACAUCUGCCAAAGUUUCUAAUUUAAGUGACUUUGUUGUGUUUGUCCCUACUCUUCCCUCUGUCUUAAGCAUGAGAAAAUAGUUAUGUGGCAA
rnacentral:lncRNA from 1 species